rnacentral:rRNA from 1 species
AUUGAACGCUGGCGGCAUGCCUUACACAUGCAAGUCGAACGGUAACGCGGGGCAACCUGGCGACGAGUGGCGAACGGGUGAGUAAUAUAUCGGAACGUGCCCAGUAGUGGGGGAUAGCCCGGCGAAAGCCGGAUUAAUACCGCAUACGACCUACGGGUGAAAGGCGGGGGAUCGCAAGACCUCGCGCUAUUGGAGCGGCCGAUAUCAGAUUAGGUAGUUGGUGGGGUAAAGCCUACCAAGCCUACGAUCUGUAGCUGGUCUGAGAGGACGACCAGCCACACUGGGACUGAGACACGGCCCAGACUCCUACGGGAGGCAGCA